ACCCAACAACAUACCGGAGACCCAAAAGAAAAAUCAAGUAUGACUUUUAUGCUUUUAGGGCCUUUUGUUCCAACAUAUUUGUGCAAAGCCAGUCUCUUUAUGAACUCAUGUAUUUGUCUUUUGUUUUGUCUGUCUCUAAUAAAGGCCAAGUAGACACGUCCGAUCGGACUUUGAAAGUCAAGACCCCUGCAGUCCUCCAAAGAAACAGGCCUUCCCAAUCCUCCCUGAGGCCCCUGCUAUCGCUGGACCGUCCAACUUCAGGCGCUUCAUACUAGCGCAGCCCACUCAAAGUGGGUGUUAUGAGGUCCCUGUGAACAAUGAGCAGCCUCAGGGUUUUCAGCUCUUCUGCGUGACCUGUUGGUUAACCAACAAAUACUGAUGGACCAGCAAAAGACCAUGAUUCGGAUGAUCCAAGACCUCUACAGAAACAGCCAGGGAGGUCAGAGGAUGUCCACCACCUCCAGGCAUACUGCCUAUUUUCCACUAGUGGAUAAACAGGCUCUGGAGGUCCUGGAGGGCGACCUGGCAAGCCAGCGGGAACUUCGUCAAGAAUUGGUUAUCACUCUUGGAUUGGCAGGGGGAGCUGAUGCCAAAGAUACUGUGUGGCGCAUUUUGAAACAGGCCAUCAAAAAUGACCUCGCCAAGAACAUCUCAUGGCGGGGGAUGAAUGGAAAGAUUUCAUUUGAAAAUCUACACCUGAAGGCAGUAGUGAUGGAUGCAGUGAGGCACAAUCCAUCCUGCUCAACCGCAACAGAUGUGCAGAUUGGGGAUGCCAUUAAGAGAUGGUUUUACUGGGCUGGGGAUCGGGAGG